AAGAGUCAUUAUGGGAUAAAACCCUAAUACUCCACCCUUUGUUUACAUUACCUUUGUUGCUUUGGCAGGCCCGUCUUCGGACCACCGGCUUCGGCUGGUCAGUGCCUGCCAGAGGACCCAAAACUCAUGUUUAAUAUAUUGUCCGAGUACUAUAUAAUAGUUA
rnacentral:misc_RNA from 1 species